AGAACGAACGCUGGCGGCAUGCCUAACACAUGCAAGUCGAACGAACCCUUCGGGGUUAGUGGCGCACGGGUGCGUAACGCGUGGGAACCUACCAUCAGGUUCGGAAUAACAGUUAGAAAUGACUGCUAAUACCGGAUAAUGUCUUCGGACCAAAGAUUUAUCGCCUUUUGAUGGGCCCGCGUUGGAUUAGCUAGUUGGUAAGGUAAAAGCUUACCAAGGCGACGAUCCAUAGCUGGUCUGAGAGGAUGAUCAGCCACACUGGGACUGAGACACGGCCCAGACUCCUACGGGAGGCAGCAGUGGGGAAUAUUGGACAAGUGGGCGAAAGCCUAGGAUCCAGCAAUGACCGCGUGAGUGAUGAAGGCCGUUAGGGUUGUAAAGCUUACUUUACGUGGGGAUAGGAUAAUGACACGUAACCCUAGAGAAUAAGCCGUACCGG
rnacentral:rRNA from 1 species